ACACAGAUAUUAGGGGGACCCGAUCUGUUCAUAGACCGUGGCAGUACGAUCAACCUGACCUGUAGGUGCUAUUCAGUCCUGAGCCACCUGCCUACAUAUUCUGGAACCACAAUGAGGCGAUAAUCAGCUACGAUUCGCCGCGCGGAGGCGUCAGUGUGAUCACAGAGAAGGGUGAGACGACAACCAGCUUUUGCUGAUUCAGCGCGCCAGACCGACCGACUCUGGCCGCUACCAGUGCAACCCGUCCAACGCCCAUCUAAGAGCAUCAACGUGCAUGUUCUCAAUGGUGAAUUUCCGGCAGCAAUGCAGCACGGAGGCCAGGCGCAUCACAGGACAUCUCAUAUGCACUGCCUUCUUUUCUGUCUGCUGCUGCUCAGGUUCUGCCAUAGACCACCACAUACAUCACUUCAACAUGUCAGCUGUUCUCAUAAGUAGCAUCGAUACUUCGAUACAUCGAUAUAUAUCGAAGUAACGUCGAUACAUCGAAGUAACUUCGAUAUAUCGAAGUAGCUUCGAUACAUCAAAGUAACUUCGAUACAUCGAAGUAACUUCGAUACAUCGAAAUAGCUUUGAUACAUCGAAAUAAAUUCGAUAUAUCGACAUAUAUCGAAGUAGCAUCGAUACAUCGAAAUAACUUCGAUACAUUGAAGUAACAUUCUCAGACCAGAUACAGAAUAGACACAUUAGAAUGUCUAACCUCUGAAGCCAACAUGAAUUGGAUGCGUGAUGUCAUACUGGUGCAAGACUUGCCACUGCAAGCUGUAGCUAUGGUGAGGUCCACUUUACUAGUAGUUCUGGGAACAGUAGACCUCACGCAGUAUUCUCAUCCACCAGUACCUGAUGUCACCUGUUUUAAAUGUUAACAAACUCAGUUCACGUUUGAAUUUGUAUUCCAUAUGAUUUAAUUCAUCCAGUUCCGGUUUGAUAAUCUGAUGAAAAAUAAUUUUUUACAAUCAAAAAUAUUAUGAUUUCUUCAGCAUUUAGUUCAUUUGAUUAUUUUUAAUCAGCUAUUGAAUAAGUUUUUUCGAAUGUGAGAAUAUUGAUACUGAUGGGCACACAUAAUAAUACCAUGACUGCAAAACAAAAUAUUGAAACCAAAGACCUUAAAGAUGUAUACCUCUUCAAGGUCUUUGAUUGAAACUAUAGACCUUAUAGAAAUACAGAAUACACUGGCAUCAAUGUAAACAAACUCUACAGAAAAGUUUUAUAUCUGAUGCUAAUGUCACGAUUUGGCAAUUGUGAUGCUGACUUCAUUGACUUUGAGAGUGAAUAUACAAUGGGCCAUGUCUAUUCUAUAUCUGGUCUAAGGUAACAUUGAUGCAUCAUCGAUUCAUCGAUACAUCGAAGUAACUCCGAUACUUCAAUACAUUUAUACAUCAAAGUAACAUCGAUAAAUGAUACAUCAAAGUAACUUCAAUAUAUCGAUAUAUCGAAGUAACAUCGAUAUAUCGAUACAUUGAUACAUCGAAGUAACAUCGAUGCUGCCCAGUCAGCUGAUACUGACACAAGUCAAACACUGUUCUUGAUUGACUUCAACCUGUUAGCACACCUUGAAUGCUGGAUUCCCACAGUCAGUGGACAUUUCCAAACAUCUCCAUCUCUACACUUGAUCAGCAUUCGAAUGUCGUGGAAAUGUUCUAUUUGAAAAUCUUCUUUACAUUCGAGAUGAGAUUUGUGUGUUGCUGUAUUGUUUCUGAGAUGUGAGUACCGACUGUAAUGUGGAUUGCAUUUUUCUGUACAAUAAAAAUUUUUAAUUCAAUUAAUUUCAAAUCAAUGUCAAUCGCAACAGUGUUUGUCAAUCCAUAAUCUCUCUUGAAUGUUGGAGAUAUCAAAGGGAUGGACAAAGUGUUCGUUUAUUUGUAAACUUAUAAUAGGUACUGUAUAAAUUUCAAAAAUAUUAUUCUAGAAUUUCAAUUGGAUGUCAUUUAGUAGACAAGAUGGAUAGAGAAGUGUAUGAUACAUUCCAUUUUUCAUUCAGAAGGCUGAACAUUUAAAUAGUUUGCUUGGUGUUUUCAAGAUAUUACCGGAGAUGUUAUUAAAGCUAAUUAUAAUGUUGUAAACUUUUUCAUCACGAGUAGGUUCUUCUUCAAUUACCCAUACCUUCUACAGUAUUUUUUGUGUGAUGGAGAUAUUUUUUAAAUACAUCAUAAUUCAAUUCAAUAGGUUGUUUUCUAAUUUAUUCAGAAAUAAUUUUGUAGUCCUCCACUCUUAUGUUUUUGAAUAAGAUUUGCAAUGCAAUGAAUUUCAAUCUCUUAUUCAAGACCAUUGAUCACAAUUUUUGCCAAUCAUGAGCUUUGUCUUAAUAAAAUAAACUGGAAGCUGCAUUUGUUUAAUGCUGAUUAAUGGAUAAUCAUUAUCAAACGAAAAUCCCAUUUGAAUGCUGUAAAUCACCCUAAAAACUUCUGAUACUGAAAAAUAUUGACUACCUAUACUAUACAGCUUUUAUAGUAGCGCUCAUCAAAUUUUCCAUCUAGCUGUUGACCAUGUUGUCAAUAUUUGCAGUAGCAGAAGUCUUCGGGGUGAUUCACAGCAUUUAAUUGGGAUCUUCGUUCAAUAAUAAUUGAAAAAACUGAUAAUUCAAUGAAGUUGCUAUUCCAUUUUGGAUUUGAAUUCCACUAAGAAAGAUGAAAACAAUAACCUAAUUUCUUGUAACAUCAAUAAAGAUUUAUUACCAAAUGUUUUCAAAGUGAAGAAAGGUAUUUUAUGAUGAAGAGCUUCUAAAAGAUAAGAAUAAACUUGGAGAGUAUGCUGUGAUAUUAUUUUAAUGUUAUAUUUUAUGGAAAAUAACUAACGCAGGUGCCCCCUCUAUUUGUUAUGUUUGUAUAGCUAUGAUACAUGCAAACUAGUUUCUAAAUCAUUUUAUAUUGGAACUUCGAAUUAUCUAUUCAGUCAAUUGAUGUUUGUUAUGUUAUUGACAUUAUCCACAUAUAUCUGUGUAUGUUGAUAUAUUUAUUAAAUUUCCUAAUCGACUGUUAAACUGUCAUACCAUAGCCUACUGUAAAUAUCACAUAUUUGAGUAAGCAAGGUAGUCAUUAAAAAAAAAAAAUGUAUGGAAGACCAUCUCGUACUAUCUUGUUCACCAACUUGUUGUAACCCCAGAGGUUUUCACGUGUGUGUGUGUGUGUGUGUGUGUGUGUGUGUGUGUGUGUGUGUGUGUGUGUGGUGUGUGUGUGUGUGUGUGUGUGUGUGUGUGUGUGUGUGUGUGUGUGUGUGUGUGUGUGUGUGUGUGUGUGUGGUGUGUGUGUGUGUGUGUGUGUGGGUUUGUAUAAUAUUCUUGGCGAGUAUGAAUGAAGUCUUCGAGACUGGGACUUUAAUUGGAGUCUUUGAGAGUCAUUGGACUACAGUAAGGUUCACGUUGUAAUGGCAGUGGAGAAAGAUAGGAGAUCAACGUUGCCGAUCCUCUGUCUUGUCAAUGCCUUUUAUAGAUGGUAGCUGAUACAGGUUUACUAAUGCAAUAUUAAUGGUCCAUUCUUGUUUAAAAUAUCCAAUUAUAGAUGGAAUUAAAUAGAGAAUGCAUUUUAUUAUUCAUUUAUUUCCAUCUAGCUGUUAACCCUGUUGUCAAUGUCUGCAGUAGCAGAAGUCUUCGGGGUGAUUUGCAGCAUUUAUUUAGGAUUUUCGUUGAAUAAUAAUUAUAUCCAAUUAUAUUCUAUUGAGCAAGAGAUCAUAUUUUUCAAUAAUUUCAUAAUGAAUUAUCAUAAUUGAGGUGGAAUUAUUAUUUUGUUGAUCAAUUAUUAAUUCUACAUUGUCAAAAGACGAUCUGGCAACAGAACAAGGAGAGAAAGAGAUAGCGCUAUCCGCUUUGUUUGAAGAUAGACAAGGAUAGCAAUACCAUUGCUAAUCAAACACUCCCAUUAUAACGUGCACCUCACUAUAGAACUCUAGAGUCUUUGAGAUCUUUGAGAUAUGGAUGAUCAUUUGAUCGGAUGUGGAUAGACAUAUUUUGAAAAUAACAACUAUUGUCAUGUUAUAGCAUAGAUAAUGUUUUACAUACCUAUAUUAUACAAUUUAUAAGACCAUAUUUUAUUCCAGAACGGCUCAACUGAAAUCUCCUGUAUGUAUAAUAUUGUAAUAUCUUACUCAUGUAUUUCUUUGGUUACUCGAAUGUUGAACAACAUUUUUUAUUGGAUGAAUUUGAAGAACAUACAUUCUAUAUUUAUUCAAUACCUACCUAGCAACUGUAUCUUGCAAGUUUUUUUUUUUUGACCUCAAAAAUAUUAUUGAACCUCCUAUGUAAAUUCUCAUUUACAUAAUUAUUUUUUAUGAAUUUCUCAUAACCAUCAUAUCUUUUUUAAAAUGUAUAAAUUCAGGGUUACUUUCUUCCACUUUCUUUCUUCAUACUGAUGUGAACACUGAAACUAGUUCUUAUAAUUUGUAUUCUUAAUCUAUAAAUUUAUUCAUUUCAAAGGGUACUAUAAUUCUAUUUUAUAAAUCAUAUCCUUUAUUUACUAUUUCUCAUUACUAUCAUCAUCACACAAUUUUUCAUUUUUCACUCCAUAUCAAUAAUUGAUAUUGUAUAACAAUUCGUCACUUCAUCAACAGAUGAAUGUAACUUAAUGUAUUUACAUUUUGGUUGGGAAAGGAGAAAUAUUUUCAAAUUUUCAAUUCAUCAUUUUUCAUUGCGUGGUAUUCAAUCUAACAAUUUAUUAUAGAGCAUGAGUCUUCCGACUAUGUGUCAUUGAUUACUGAGGUAAUUGAUUAAUUUUAUUAAUGUUUUUAUCCUACAUCAGCCCUAAGCAAUUCAGCCCGACCGGCUGUGGGAGUAGCCUAAAUCUUUCCAAUAUCAUCUUAGAAAGUAGAGGCACCUUUUUGGACAUUUCUAUUCUAAAAAUAUGAAAGGCAUGCUGAUUCCGUUGACAAUUCUACUACUUUUAUGAAUUAAUUCGUUGGAAUGACAACACUAUUUACAAAUUCGCUGUUUCCCUGCGAAAUUCUAUUGACUUUCUUCCAUUUUUCUUUCAUAUGUGCCAUUCUUAGUCACUAUCAUUCUGUUAUCCAUUUUGUUUUGUCAAUUCCUUGUCAUGAAUAAGAUAAUUCAGGAAUUCCAUUAUAAACUUGAUUCAUCUUUCUUCAUUGUUUCUUUCUCACUGUGGGCCUAUAAAGUCAUUGGAAAAACAAAUUAUCACCAAUUAUUGUAUUAGUUCAUUUAUUUAUCCAGUCAUGUACAAUUAUCACACUUAUGUGAGAAGGUAAACAGGCUUAUGCCCAAAAAUGUCCCUUCUCAAAUUCUUACUACAGU
rnacentral:lncRNA from 1 species